CUUCACAUUGUUCGGGUUCGAUGCAAUACUAAUUUCCUGUCUCAUAGCCAACCCAAACAUGAUACCCAACAUUCCAAAAGUGCACGAAACAGAGGAAGUGAAGAAAAACAGAGCAUAUACAAACGAAAAAGAUACGAUUGAACUCGGCUCCAUUUCAUAACGAUCAAUGGGCUGGAUACAGGUGCCAUUGGAAGGAAGCAAAAAAAAAUAUGAUUUUGAUACAUCAAGCUCAGGGGAGAAAACAAAGCAUCAGGCAUUGACAAGAAAGAUAGAAAAAAAAAAACACCAGAAACAAAACCAAAACAGAGCAUGCAUACAAAGGAUAGAUCCCUCAAAGCAAACAAGUGGCCUAGUAGUCAUACCUGGAUGUUUUCCUCAAGCCAAAAGUUUCCUGGCCACCCGCUCUGCUCUCCUCCCUUCCCUCUCCUGCUUCAGCCAAAGAACCCCUCUUUAAAAAAGAAUCCCCUCACCUCCAAAUCUCCCCUGUUUCCCUGUCUUUCUUACCAAGCCACUACCUGCUCUCAUGUGCACCAUUCCGCCAAUGCGUCAUCCUCACCCACCACCAUGGGCGAGCCGUGCUCUUGGCCACUCCUCAUCUCAAGGAAAAUUCUCUCUGAUUUGAAAGCAUUUCUCUUUCUCUCUCUCUCUCUUUCUCUCUCUCCCUCUCUCUCUUUCUCGGCUUCAUCACCCACAUAAUCCCAAGAUCCAUGUAAAAUUUCCCAAAAAUUGUCUUAUUUGAGAGAAAAAAACCAUUAAUCCAAAACUCUAACUUGCAUGUUUCUUUCUUGUCCACAUAAAAGUGCAACGAAAUGGAGCAUUCCAUCCUAAGAAUGUCCAGUUAAAAGACGACUUCAAGAGGCACAUCUGUGAUUGUGAAUCUACUACAGCAGCGCGUACCAAAACGGAAAGGUGGAAUCCAAAAUAUUGGCUUUGUAAACAAGAUAUCUCUUUCUAUCAUUGAGUGACAUUUUGCCCUAACCCUAAACCGAAAUCUAAAGGUAAAUUAUUUUCAUUUAUUGUUCUUUAGUGCAUUUAUUUGAAAUAGAGCACAUCAACGUUUUGGAGUUGUUUGUGGACAUGAACUUUUGUGUUGGGUUGUGGGAACCAUAUUAUUCCUAAAUAAUCAUAUGACUCACAAGUCAUAUUGAACCAAGAUGGAACUUACAACAUAUAUGGUUGUAAGUCGCAUUGUUAUUUUGCGGACUGUACCUUAGGUACUACCUUAAUAGCCCUUAGGUACCACCUUAGCCUACCUUAGGUACUACCUUAAGCCACCUUAGGCACUAUUUUAGUUAAAGUUAGGUUGUACCUAUCCAAAGCAUCGAACCUUCCUUUGUCACCCUUAGAGCAUGCCAUUAUGUGAUUCUUUUAUGUGGUCAAGUGGUUCGCCUUUGGUUUUUUGUGGACUGUACCUUAGGUGCUACCUUAAUAGUCCUUAGGUACCACCUUAUUCUACCUUAAGUACUACCUUAGUUAAAGUUGGGUUCUACAUAUCCGAAGCCUUGGACCUUCCUUUGUGACCCUUAGAUCAUGUCAUUAUGUUAUCUUUUGUGUGGGCCAGUGGUUCACCUUUGAUUUUUUAGGGACAGUACCUUAGGUACUACCUUAAUAGCCCUUAGAUACCACCUUAAUCUACCUUAGGUACUACCUUAACCGACCUUAGGUACUAUCUUAGUUAAAAUUGGGUUCUACCGAUCCGAAGCCUCUGACCUUCAUUUGUCACCCUUAGACCAUGCCUUUAUGUGAUUCUUUUGUGUGGUCAAGUGGUUCACCUUUGGUUUUUGCGGACUGUACCUUAAGUACUACCUUAAUAGCCCUUAGAUACCACUUUAAUCUACAUUAGGUACUACCUUAGUUANNNNNNNNNNNNNNNNNNNNNNNNNNNNNNNNNNNNNNNNNNNNNNNNNNNNNNNNNNNNNNNNNNNNNNNNNNNNNNNNNNNNNNNNNNNNNNNNNNNNNNNNNNNNGAACUUAGUUAAAGUUGGGUUCUACCUAUUCAAAGCCUCAGACCUUCUUUUGUGACCCUUAGACCAUGCCAUUAUUUGAUUCUUUUGUGUGGGCAAGUGGUUCACCUUUGGUUUUUUGGGGAUUGUACCUUAGGCACUACCUUAUAGCCCUUAGGUACCACCUUAACCUACUUUAGGUACUACCUUAACCAACCUUAGGUACUACUUUAGUUAAAGUUGGGUUCUACCUAUCCAAAGCCUCUGACCUUCCUUUGUGACCCUUAGACCAUGCCAUUAUUUGAUUUUUUUUGUGGGCAAGUGGUUCACUUUAGUUUUUUGGGGAUUGUACCUUAGGCACUACCUUAAUAGCCCUUAGGUACCACUUUAAUCUACCAGGUACUACCUUAACCGACCAUAAGUACUACUUUAGUUAAAGUUGGGUUCUACCUAUCCGAAGCCUCUGACCUUCCUUUGUGACCCUUAGACCAUGCCAUUAUAUGAUUCUUUUGUCUGGGCAAGUGGUUCACCUUUGGUUUUUUGGGGACUGUACCUUAUGUACUAUCUUCAUAGCCCUUAGGUACCACCUUAAUCUACCUUAGGAACUACCUUAACUGACCUUAGGUACUACCUCAGUUAAAGUUGGGUUCUACCUAUCCGAAGCCUUUGACCUUCCUUUGUGACCCUUAGACCAUGCCAUUAUGUGAUUCUUUUGUGUGGUCAAGUGGUUCACCUUUGGUUUUUUUAGGACUGUACCUUAGGUACUACCUUGAUAGCCCUUAGGUACUACCUUGAUAGCCCUAAGGUACUACCUUAAUCUACCUUAGUUACUACCUUAACCGACCUUAGGUACUACCUUAGUUAAAGUUUGGUUCUACCUAUCCGUAGCCUCUAACCUUCCUUUGUCACCCUUAGACCAUGCUAUUAUGUGAUUCUUUUGUGUGGUCAAGUGGUUCACCUUUGGUUUUUUGCGGAAUGUACCUCAAGUACUACCUUAAUAGCCCUUAGGUACCACCUUAAUCUAACUUAGGCACUCCCUUAAGGGACCUUAGGUACUACCUUAGUUAAAAUUGGGUUCUACCUAUUUGAAGCCUCUGACCUUCAAUCCCGGACAUUGCUUGUUAUAUUUUAAAUUUUGUAGUUUAUCAUGACUAUUAUUAUCCUACAAUGUGGUACACAUGUGUGAAUUAUAUACGUUUCGUACUAUAUUUUUCAAUAGUUAUGAGUUGAUUGAUUAUCAAAAAUUAACCAACAACAAUUAUGUCAUUAGACGACAAACAAGCAAACAUACUAUGUAGUGUUUGUGGGUCGUAGACAUGGAGUGUACGAUUCUUGGGCUGAAUGUCAAAAGAAUGUGCUCCUUUAUAAGGGGAGUGUUUACAAAUCAUAUACUUUUAGAGAGGAAGCUGUUUGAGCUUGGGUGUUCUAUGGACUAAGAUGGAAGAGAAGUGAUGAACGUUCAUCAGCUGGCAAACCAAAGUUUGAACUUGCAAUUGAUGAUCAGCAUUUGUUGCAAAAUAUUUCAUAUACAUAUGUAAUCACUUUCUUUGCUAGCUUCUUUGUAGCAUGUGUUUUGCUUAUUGUAACAUUUAGUUUAACAUGGGUUGUGGAAAUGUGUUAUGAAUAUCAAUUUCUAGUAAUGCAUUUUUCGUAGUGUUCACAAGUAUUAUGUGAUUAUUAUUAUCAACUUUGUUAAACUGAAAAUGCUCACUCAAACGUUUGGAGCAUAAGACAAUUUGUUCAUUAAAGGUUACAACAUUAAAGAAAUUGAGAAUUUUUGACACAUCAUAAGAUUUUGAAUAAAUUCUAGUUGAGAUGUAAAGCUAACAACUAUAUCUAUGGAAAUUACAUCUUAGCAUUUUCCAAAUUUACAUUUUGUCACUCAAACAUUUUGCCAUUUUGCACAAACUUAUUUAACCCAUCUUCUUCAUUCUAGUGCCUUGAUUUUCAUUAAUCCUUGGAUCAACUCAUUUGACCAAAAAUAAUUUUGUGAAAAGACAUUUCAAACAAACUUUUAAUUUAAGUAUAUUAUAUAAAUCUUAUUUAAAUUUUUUGAAUGAUUUAAUUUUUCAUUUAAAAAUAUAGUUACAAAUUUUAUUAAAAUUAAUAUUUUCAUUUGUGGGUUUAUGGACAAAAAUUUAAGAUAAUUUUAAUAGCAAGUUAGACAAAUAUAUGUAUUGACUAAUAAGAAUUUAAGUACUAUUUGUUUUAUUGUUUAGGGUUGAAUGUAACAUCAGAUAAAAGAAGAGAGGGGACAACAUAUCAUAUCCCAUGUUUGGUUAGUGAUAGAAGAAGAUAAGUUAACCUCACAACUUAUCAUAUCUUAUAUUCAACCAAACAUGGAAUAGGGUAACUCGAUAUUAUCAAUUGUUUAUAUAUAUAUAUAUAUAUAUAUAUAUAUAUAUUACUUAUCUUGCAAAAUAUUUUUUUCGUUAAAAAAGGAAAAUUUAUAAAAUUUAUAAAAUAUAUUAUUAAAUAAUAUUAAUAUAUUUAUUAUUCAAUAUAUACAAAAUAUUUUUAUAUAUUGAAUAUCAUAAUAUAUAUAAUAAAUUUUAAUUUAUAAAGUUUAAAUAUUUUAAUUAUGAAUAUUAUUAAAUGUAAAACAUAAAAAAUAUUGAAAUGUAAUAUAAUUUUUAAUUUAAACAUUGAAAAAUAAUAUAUACUAUAUCUUAUUUUUAUUCAUUUACAAAUUAAAUAUAAACAUAAUAUAAUAUUCAAUAACAUCAUAUCUUAUUAAAAAUCAUAUAUUUACAUUUCCUAAUAUACAUGUAUAUUCUAUCCUACUAACCAAACAUAACCUUAAAAUAUUUUCAAACAUUUUCAUAACUUCUAUCAAUUUGCAUUCCACCCAAAUUUUGUUUUCUUUUGUUUCACAUUUUUCAUCCCAUAUUUUUCAUAUUUAUAUAAAUUCAAGUACCAACUUUUAAUACCUUCAUCAUUUUCAACAUUGUUGUAGAGAGUCAUAAAAAACUUAUUUAUUUUUAAUUAAAUGAGAUUCUGUCAACAUAUUUUUAAAAUGAGAAAUUAACACUCAUAUAAUAAUCUUAUUUUUCGUAGUGUGGCAUCUCAAAAUAUUGAAAAUUUUCUAGCAUUCGUUGUAAAAUGACUAAAAUCAUCAAAAAUAUUUUUCUUCACUUACAUAAUUAUUAAAUAAGUUUUUAUCUUUUAUUUUAAAAGUAAAAAAAAAAAAAUUGAAUACCAAAAAAAUUUAGCAUUUAUAGAAAUUAGAAACAACAUUUAUAUUUUCUAUCUAAAAAGAGAAAAAUUAAAAGUCUCAUAUUGACUUACCUACGACAAAAAGGAUCCUAAAAUCAACCUAACAAACUUCAAACAAGCAAUAAUCAGCAUAAACCAAACCUCAUCUCAUGCUUUAACUUGCACUGCAAUUACAAUUAACAAAACAGACCCAUAAGAAAACAAAAGAGUAGGAUGAGUUUUUUCAUAUUCUUGUUUGCCAUAUUCUUGUUUGCCAACUACGCUUUCAGGUGUUUUCUAAUAACAUAUUUGGUGGGGUGCUCAUGCAAUCUCCUUCUGUACAUGAUUUUGAUCAAAGAGAAAUGUUCUGCUUCUACCUUUUCCCUGGAAGUAACAUCAGUGGGAAGGUUCGCUAGCUUUGCUUUAGAACUAGCUUUAUUUUAACUUUUCAUUUAUAGAAUCAUCCUCCAUAUUGGAAGUACUUCAUUUCUAUGCCUUCAAAUGGAUCUACCAAUAUAUGCCAUUUCUUUCAAAUUCAUUCUUUGAUCAUGUUGCAUUUAGGUUGUACAUUAAUAUCCUGUACUGAUGACCUUCUGUAGUGGUGUUGACAUUGAUCUUGACAAUGUCAACAAAUCAUUGAAGAGAACGCAUGUACAAGUGCAAAAGAUAGGCACAAAUACUUUGCAAGGGCACACAAACACAAUAAUUUAAAUGAGAGUUUGAUUUCAUUUGCCUGCAAAAUCAACCCAUUUUUACAGCUAUAGUCUUGCCUUAUACAUGUCCAAAAAGCAUACAAGACCAAUAAUCCGUUGAUUCAGACUUUGUCUAGGAUGACUACGUAUGGAAUAAAUAUGAAGAGUCACAAUACUGUCUGUUCAUACUCAUAAUAUUCAAAUAAUGUCUGUAUUGGACCCUAUUGGCACUUUAAAGAUUUCAAUGACUACGUAUCGGUCAAACUAGUGAACCAUGAAUUAGUAAUUUUUUUUUAUUCAAUGACUGAUCUUAUUCUAAAAACAUUUAUUUAAAAGAUUUCAAAUUAACACUACCUAAAGGCAUUGAUAUAUAUAUAGAGGCUUUGGGUGUCAAUUAAGCCAAAAUAUUUAAUUACAUCGCUUCUAGUAUUUAAGUGUGCACACAUGAUGCAACUUUUUGUUUGAAUGAUAUUACAUGGACAAUUACUUGUUGAAUAUUUAAAUGUUAAUAAUAAUAUUAUUAUUAAAGAAAACUUAGAAAUAAACAUUUAAUGACUCAAAUAUUCUUUAUUUCUAAAAUUAAAUUAUACUUCUCUCUUCUUUAAACAAUUUUUUCAUAAAUGAAUGUGUUCAAACAUUUUUCAAGAUCUAUUUAUCUCAAUAAACAUAACUUUCAGAAUUUUCUUUUAUCUUCUCUUCAUUUAUAUUCAUAAUUGUUUUGAAUUAAUUUUGAUUUAUCUAUUAAAAAUUAGUUGUGGUUUACAUUCUUUGUACAAUAUUUAUUAUUAUCAUCAUUAUUAUUAUAACAAAGAAAUGAUUAAAAAUAUUUGCUCACAAAUAAGGUUAAAAAAUUUUAUAUAAGAAAAAUAAAAUGUGGUAAACUUGUUUUUAGGCAAACCCUUAAAUAUUUUCAUUAAUUAAUAUAUAUAUAUAUUUUUUUACAAUUUUUCCAAAUUCAUGUGGUAUAAUUUGAGUGAAAAUUUAUUAAAAACUCGAAAAAUAAAUAUUUGAUAUAUUUAAUAAUCUUGUUUUCCAGGCAAUAAAAUCUUCUUGUCUGUUGAAGCCUCGCAUCACCCGGGGUCCUCGCAGUAGCCAGAUGGACGCUCCCUUUCAACUGAUGAUGAUUCUUGCCUCAAUCAACCUGCAAAAGACGUUCGGACAGGUUGUCCAAACACAUCCUCCGAUGGUUUUGUUAGCCUUCUCUCUGAUAAUCAAUCUUCCCUUUUUACUGAGUAAGAAAGCUUACCUUCUUUCCUCGCAUGAAGGCUCUUUUAUAGUGUCAGAAGCUCUGUCCCCUUUAAUGGUAGGAAGACUUUUUGUCUUGUCAUGAUGGCGCUGAGGUAGUGGCAGAGCCAUCAUUGUCCUGCAGGUGCCUGUCAGAUAUUGUGGAGGGGAUGGCUUGCCGUCAUUCUUGUCCUUUCGCUCUACAGGCGGCGGAAUGCGGGCUGUGAUAGGUUGUCUGAGGUGACUCAGUAUGAUCCCGUCGAAAGUGCUUCUGGCAGUGUAGGCCAAGAUGGCCCGCGUUUCACGACCAAGGCUUUUGAUUAAGUUGCUAACGCUGGGUUCAGACAACAUAUCCGGACAAGAGAGUGGGUCGUCCGGAUCGUGGGUUUGAGAGUGUCGUACGCCCUCCGGAGGGAAUCCGGAUAGAGAAUUGAUGUGCCACAUGUCCCCUGGAGGGGUGCUGUGCGGGAUUGCCACGUGGGCGUUUGGGGAUGGUCCCUACAAUGCCCCCCUUUUAACCUGACUAUUUUGCCCGGGCAAAAAAGGCGGGUUAAAAAUGAUGCUUUUAAACCUUUCAUUUCUUUUUUGGGGUUUAUGUGCCACGUGGUGUUGCAAAAGGGGGAGUAUUUAUGGCGAGUCGCCGUUCUUGGGGGGAUUUCUAGGCGGCAUGUCGUUUCGACAGUGGCACGGUUGGGCACCUGGUUGUUUUGAGUAUCGAGGAGUCGCAUCCCUUAAAUAGGGAAUCCAGCCCCUGCAACUACAUUUUUCCUUCUGCGUUUUUUUCUCGUCUGUAUUUUCCCUUUGCCUCUAUGUUCAUCUUCACUUGUGAUUGAGGGUCGCUUUCUAGGGCUUCUGUUAGCGACAUUCCUGUCAUAAGGGCGACUGUAUCGUGGCCUUCGUUCCAGUUGCAAGCUUGCACCAGGUAUGUUCUGUAUUUCUAUCUCCUCAUCUUAAGCUUCCUGUUUCUUCAAUUUUUGCUGGCUUGUUGGGUAUUUUGUUUGCGAUUGAGGGUCAGAGGUAAUGUUUAGGGUUUUUCAGGGGGUUUUGAUUUUGUUUUGGGCCCAUUGUGGCUUUUGUUGCCUCCCUGUUGCCUUUACGGAUGACUGAACCGUAUUUGGGGUAGAGUUAGGGGUUAGGCUUGGGGUUUUGGCUAUUUUAGGCCUUCUGGGUCAUUUGUUCUCAGGGCUGUGGGGCCGGGUACCUCUGUUUUGACUGUUGGCAUUCCGCCAUGUAGGUUUUGUUUCGGCCUCACGCUUUAACAUGCCUACGAAAAAGGAUGUGGCUUCGUCCAGUGCAGCUGGGCCUAGUGGAAAAAGUGUAUCCGAGCAGACCUACUCGGGGAAGCCUACUGACAAGCUGAACGAGAGGGAGUUUUGUGAGCAUUUCUGUAUCUCGAACGAUGUCUCUAUUCAGCUAGUGGACGAGAAUGCUAUGUCCACUGAGAAAGCUGUCAACCACGUCGUUUACUUUUCCAAGGAGCAAUUCAAUGCGGGGCUCCAGUUUCCUCUUCCGUCUUUCUUCAAAGAGUUCAUCCACUUCACUCAAAUUUCUCCAGCUUAUGUCCAUCCCAAUAUUGUCCGGGUGUUGAUGGGGUGCAGCAUUCUAAAUAUGCUGUUCAAUUUGGAUCUUUCCUUGCUGGAGGUCCUCUUUGUUUACACCAUCAAGAAGGGGAAGACAUACCUCUUUAGCCUGUUUGCCCAUAUCCCAUCCCUUCAAUUGGUGACCAACCUUUCGGAUUCGAACAAGGGGGGAGCCAAAGGGCAUGUACUGGUCAGCGGUCACUAGGCCGGUCUGUCGAAGCCUCCGGAAAGGGAGUUUACCCCCAACCGUCCGUUGACGCUUCCAGGUAGGGUAGCUCUUGGUGUUUGUCCAGUGUUGGUUUUUGACUCUUGAUUCAGUGUUAUCAGAUGACUAACCUCUUUUGUUUUGGGUAACGCAGGUACACACAAAAGGGGUCGCUUGGUCAAGUGGGUGGAGAAGGCCUCUUUCGAUCGUUUGAACAGGCUGUUCGAGAUCACUUCCAUUGAGAGGCACUACCAGACACUUCUUUCUGCCCGGAACCUGUUGGCUGUCGUCUGGGAACCUCAGCCGUACGUCCUCAAUAUUCUCCCUAGGUGACUACCCAAGGUUGUAGUGCCCGGGGAACACUUUGUACUGAAAGAUCUGUCUUUUUACGAAAGGGCUCGCGAGGCUGACGCAAAGGCGUGCCAGGAGCACCUUGACCAGCGGGAGGAGAAGAGGCAGGAGAGGACACCGAGGAAAGCACCUGUAAAAGAAAGGGCUUGGCGAGAAGAGGUCGGCGAGAAAGGACGCGAAUCUUCUCCCGCGGUCCGUUCUUUGACUGCAAAGAAGAAGAAAAAGAAAACCAUUGCGCAGGCUCUCCAGGUAGUGUCUCCGGCUCUUGAUUUUUAGUCUUCAUCCUCCGACUCUGCGUCCAGUCGAUCGAAUAACCCUGCCCCGAAGCCUGAGGAUACUUCUAGAUCUCCACAUCUUGAGACUUUCCAUUCGGGGCCUGGCUCUUUCCAACCUCAGUCGGACUUCGUUGGCCUGAGAGUCGUGCACGAGCUGAUGAAGUGAGAGACAUGAACGACCUCAGAACUGGGUUUUUGCAAAGGCAUCGUAAGCGGCUGUACGAUCCCAUAGAUCUUGCGCCUUCUCCAGCCAAGAGGGUUUGCCUAGACAGAGGUGGGGAGGAUCCAGUGACAGAAGUUCCUUUGUCAAUUAUGGCCCAUCUGGACGAGGCGGGUUCUAGUGCGGCUGCAGCAGUUCAGCCAAACGCUGUAGGAUCUAAUGUAGCAGCAACGGCUUGGCCUGACGUUCCAGGGCCUAGUGCAGCGGCCGUUGCCCAACCAGGUGUAAUUGCUCACAACAACGCCCCAACUGCAGUGGAGACCCGUGGGACAGAGGGGGUUCCGGAGGCAGCGAUUGACGAGGAGGCUCUAGACGAGAAGAGUAGUCCAGCUGCCACGGUUCCUCCAAGCUGGGAGGAAAUGAUGGAGAUGCUGAAGGGAGUGCCAUGUUUCACGGAUGCCGAGGCUCCUUCCACAAGGAUGUUUGACUUCUUUUCGCUUACCAAGUGGGUCUCUGUGAACAUGGGUGGUGAUCCUCCUGCCUUUGUCAAGGCCCGACUUCUUUUUGGCACCCUUGAGUCCAUCGUGUCUUGUAUUCAACAUCUGCAGGAGUGGACGAUCCCUGAGACUACAGAAGUGGUAAUAAUUUCUUUGCUACUUUUUCCUUCUUCCUUAGCAAUUGUUACUCCUUUGCAUGACAUUAGCUUUUGUUUUGUUGUUGUUCUGCGCAGGUCGUGGUUGGCAUCGCUACAUGAUGCAUAUGCGCAAACAGCUCUUCAAGCGGCUGGAAGUGGCGGAGGCUAUGCGCGCCUUCAUCUCUCACCAUCCGGGUGGUGUUGAGGAGAUGCGCUCGCGGUUAGAGAAGGUGGAGGCUGAGUUGGUUGCUGCUCAGAAGGCCGUAGCGGAUGGGGCGAAGAAGCUGAGCCAGGCUGAGGAGGAGAAGGGGUUGUCCGAGAUGAGGUGAACCUACUGAAAGGGGAAAAAAGGGCCUUGGAGGGUCAAAUCAAAGGGGUGGAGCAGGAGAAUUCUCAGCUUAAGAAUGAGGUGGACGAACUUCGGGCUAGCCUCGCAGCUCAGAAGAAGGAGACGGAGAGGUUGCAGGCAGGCCUAAUUGCUCAGAGGGAGAAGAUGGAGUCCAAGUUUGCCGCUCAGAAGAAGGAACUGGAGACGGAGUAUCAAAGGCAGGUAGACGAGAUGUACUUCUUCGACUAUCGUUGCUACAUGAAGAAUAACGACAUUAUGCAUGAUGUUCUGACGAUGAGGAUGCGAUACCCGGAGGCCCUCCUUGUUGAGAUUUCUUUGUGUGCAGUCCUCCUUAUACUUUUUCUCUUUGUUUUGCUGCUUUUAGGGCGGCGAAUUUUGUAAAGACAAUUUUUUAGUCCUUUAUAAAUACUUUACACUUCUUUACUUUUCUCUACCUUUUGCUUCUUUUUAUUGGUAAUAUUGCUUAAGGUUAGAUACAUUUCAUGGACGGAGCAACAGGGUUCCGUCUAACUUUUGUAGGUGAUAGGCUCCGCUUUCACUUGCCUUAGUUACAAUAUAAGGACCUUCCCAAUUCACUUGGAAUUUCCCGGCUCCUCUUUCAGCGGUGUUUUCGAAAACCUUUCAAAGGACCAGCGUUCCGAUCUUGAAGACCCGGGGUCGUGCCUUGCGGUUAUAGUGAGUGGCCGCUCUUUCCUGGUAGUCAGCCAUCCGAAUGGACGCGUUUUCUCUCACUUCAUCCACCCAGUCUAGGUUCCUUCCUAGUUCCGUACUUUCAUCACUCUGUCCUCGUGCAUCAGUCCGAAUAGUGGGCAAACCUAUUUCUAUGGGGAUGAUUGCAUCCCUGUCAUAUGCAAGGGCGAAGAGAGUGUUUCCCGUGGGUCACCCAGGCAUGGUUCGGUAGGCCCAUAGGUCGUCGGGCAGUUCCUCUACCCACUUUCCUUUAGCUUGCUCGAGCCUCUUCUUUAAGGCAGUCGCCAAGGUUUUAUUUGUCGCUUCUACUUGCCCAUUGCUUUGAGAGUAACGUAGUGUGGAGUACAAAUUCUGGAUUUUGAGCUUCGAGCAGAAAUUUCGGAAGGCGAUGCUGUCAAACUACGGACCAUUGUCGGUUAUGAUUGCUUGAGGGAUCCCAAAGCGACAAAUGUUGUUCUUCCACACAAAUUUGGUGACAUCCUUGUCCUUAAUGUUGGCAUAUGCCUCUACUUCUACCCAUUUGCUGAAAUAGUUUGUGGCAACGAGCAUGAAUUUCUUCUGGGCAGCUGCGGUUGGUAAAGGUCCUACUAUGUCCAUCCCCCAUUGUGCAAAAGGCCAAGGGCUGGAAAUUGACUUCAACGUUUUAGACGGCACAUGCGGUAUGGGGGCAUGUGUGGACCCGCAUUUUUCACGUGCGUCCCACUCGAUCGGCGAGACUCGCUUUUUUAUUAUUUUGUGAAAAAUUGAUUUUUGGAAAAAAAGUUGGAGUCGCCACUUAUUUUAUUUUUAUUUUAAAGGGAAAAUAAAACAAGAAAGAAAAACCCUAAAAUGUGACUCCAAAAUUUUUGGAAAAGCAUGUCUUUGAAAACCCAAGUCUCGGUCCGGGGAUCAGGUUACUUAUUGGGAAGGUACCUCUAGGAGGUAGCACCCCUCUAAGCCCUAUAAAGGUCUCUACUGACAAAGUUAAGGGAAGUGUGACCAUUAAUCAGUUAAUUAUAGGUACCUAAGUAGGCUAGGUGAUUUCAAAUAUUGCAUGCCUAACAAGAAAACCAACCAUAAGAGAGAGUCGAAGUGCGUACCUGAACGGCUUCUUGAGUGCUAUUAUAAAACAUCAAUGCUUAGUUUAGAUGAUAUAUCAUACAAAGUGUUUUAUCCAAGCAAAUCAAGCAUAUAUCAAAACAUCCAAGAAUUGCAUCAUGUAUGGAUAUAGUCAUUAGUAACAUAUGUGUCAAUAGAAUUCUCAAAAAUAGGUGUGAAGGAGGGUACCUGGAUAGCGAGCUAGUACUCCUCUAUAGGAAACAAGAGCAUCUCAACAAUAAAUAUUAAGUCAAUUCAAGUAUUUCAUCAAGAAGAAUCAAAAAUCAACAUAUCAAGUAAACAGUAUUGAAGUAGGUAUCAUGAAUGUCGGGCCCCCACCAAAGCCCUAAUUAAUUUCGCAUGAGUUGAUUCCAUUAAUUCCAUGACUUGGAAUUAUGGAGUUUGUUCAUGCUUAGGAAAAUCAAGAAAAACACGAAAAUAGUUAAAGUCAAAGAAAACAGUGAAAGUGCAUACCCGAAGUAAAGUGGCAGCAAAUUGCAUGUUAAAAUCUGGAUUUUGUACCUAGAAGCUUCUAAAGAAGUUUAAAGAAAACUGUAGUUAUUUUGACGUAGAAUGGUUUUGAAAUCUAGAUUUAAGAUGUAUAAAAUCACAAAAGAAGAAAAAGAAACAAUAGAAGGAGUAUGAUGCGUGGUGAGGUGGCCAAGCUGGAUUAGUGUCUAGGCUACUUUUGAGACUGAAUUACUUGGGUUGCUUGAGGAUGUUUCUGUAGAUUGCUGAAAUGGAAUUCUGCAUUCUUACAUCAGUGGUCGCUGUCUGCAAACUCAAUUCACUCAUACAACUGUGGAGAAAGAAAUUUCACUACCAUCUCUUCCUAAAGUUCCUGUUUUCAUGCUACUGGCAUCACAACCCAAACCAGAUUGGUGCACUCCAACUGAUGUCUUCCAAUAUUUCUUCUAAUUCAGGUUCAGAGAAUGACAAGAAGUCACUUGGAUUCACCACAUUGGAGAAAGUAGAACCAUUGUCAUCAUCCUAAAGGUGCUUCGCCAUGGCAGAAAAGAGGAAACGUUGGCAGAAAAGCAAUUUCUACUUAUCAUCUGAUCUGGAAAUGUGCAUGAGCAAUUCCCCUUAUAUUAACACCAGGGUUCUGUUUCUGUCAUCAACCUGCUAAACAUUAACUGAAUGCUUACAUCUUUAUUGAUUCGUGCCCAAUUGGUGUCUCAGCUGAUUCGUGUGCAGCUGGUGCUCCUUGAUUGAGGGAUUAAUCAACAAAAUUUAUAACCUAUUACACCAUAUACUAGGGUAGCAAAGACAAAGCUACUAUAGCAUAGUGGCUCUAGGAUUGUUCACUGGGAUGGGUUUUCACUUCACAAAUGAUAUUAAUUCAAAGUUGAAUUGGUGCCUUUUCAUUUCAAUGUUAGUUUUAAAAGAAAACAUAAAGAUGUUUGAAUGAAAAAAAGUUUGGUUUUAAACUAACCAAAAAUAGUAACUGAUUUUACUUACAAAGAAAAGUGUUUCUUGGAGUUUCAGAUCACUAGGCUCAAAUUCCUCAUACAAAAAGGGAGUUCCGGUCACUUGUUUCUUUUCCUCGCAUUAGAGAAUUAACAUAUAGUUCAUUCUCCAACCGGUGCUGUACAAAUGCUUCCCAUUAAUGGGUUCAAACACUAAAUCCCUCUCACUGAUGCAUCUUGCAAUGGCUCAAACCUCUCACCUAGCACUUGCCAUUCAAGGUGAUCUUUAACCUUGGAUUUCCCUUUUCAAGCUCGCAAGAGAUAACUAAUGGAUGUCUCCUUGGAGUCCAAAAGCUUACCAAGUGUUGGCAAUUCCAGAAAAUCCUACCUUCAAGUCACCUCCCAAAGGCUCGCAAGGGGUAAACUAGUGCAUCUCCAUGGACGGAGAUCACUUGCCUUACCAAGUGUUGGCCCAGGUGAUUUAAAGGCGUUUUAAGUUAACUAAAAACAUAGAAAUCACUAACGGGUUACACUUUCUCUUCAUUAAAAACUAAAACAACAAAACUUCCAAAUUAUGCAUGUGGAAACUUACCCGGCUUUCCUCACUCCAAGAGACAAAGAGCCUAGCCUCUCAUCUUCUAAGGAAAAAUCCUCAGAGAAUGUUUGGCUAGCAAGAAAAUGAAAAUGAAAAUGAAGGAAAAACAGAGCAAGGCUCUGUAUAUUCUAUAUAUUUAUCUAUCUAUUUCUAUAUUACAUACAUAAUUACAGUGGAUGCAAGGGAGUUUAUAUAGGAAGGUAAUUUACCCUUCCUUGGAUACUUCCUAGCUAAGGAAUUACAUGAGUGGUUGAAUACAAGGAGAAAAUGAAAAUUUAGACACAAAAAUCUGAAGAAAAAUAUCCCAAAGUGUCGGUCACAAAUAUCGGGAAACACUAAGGACCAUUUCGCAGGUGAAAAUGGUGUCUGCGAGAUUUCGCAGACACUCAAGAGGGCUGCGAAAUCAUUUCGCAACAACAUGCUAUCUUCGUAGGGCUGCGAAGUUGGCUUCCACCUUGAGGUUCCAAGCUUCCCUCUCGCGGUAUACGUCGGGCAACUUCAGGAGGGAAUCCACAACACUGUACAAAAAGGCUGCGAAAUCAUUCCGCAACAAAAGGGUGAUUUCGCAACACUUUGCUGAAUCCUUCCUUCAGUUUGGAGCAGUCAUCUUCCAAAGGCUGUAACUUCCUCAUUUUAGCUCCAAAUCGUACACGGUUUGAAGCGUUGGAUUCUUGACUUCCUGAGCUUUGAAAUGGUAUAUAGAAUGUAGAAAAUAGACUUCGGGAAGUGCUCCAAAAGUGCGAAAGAAGACUGCAGCUGCUGUCCUCUGUUUUCUUCACUCUGUUUUUCCUCUCUCCUUGCUUCUCUCCUUGCAUACUUUGAACGACUAAGGCAAAGGACUAUCAGGCUCCAAAUCUUGGUUUCUUCAUGAAUUUGAGCUUCCAUAAGCUUUGCCAUAACUUGUUCAAGUAGCUCCUCCAUCAUUUGGCAUGCUUGAAUUGAUUCAUAAGCUGAUAAAAACAUGUAAACUUGCCACAAAAUGGUUAAAACCAAUUACUAAGGACCUUAAUGAAUUAAUUGGGUUAAAUGAAUAUGAUUACUACUCAAAGGUGCUUAAAACCAUUAUAAUUAGGUCUACAAAAUAGCACUUUUUGGUAGUAAUCAUUUAUUGAUCUUCAGAUGUUCAGUUUCCCGAAUAACUUCCCAUUCUUUAGGCAUAUCAAAUUGCCCAGAAUCAGAAACUAUCUCUCAGUCAAUAGGAUUCAGCAACUUCUUUGCGUGUGUGAAGGCAAAGGGGCAGUAAGUUAGAGCUUACUGAUGGAUCCUACAUUUCUGGACUUUCGAGAGUGACCUCCUAGAAGACACCGUACUCCACCAUUCUCUUAUUUCUCCUUUGCUAUUUAGAUUUGGUAAGGUACACAAGCUCUUUGAAGAUGGUUGACCCAGACCUUCUCGUCCCCAUGCUGAUCUGUACUCAUCAUAAUCUGAUUCUCCCCUUGCUUUAUGUCAGCACAUAUGCUGUAAGCUCAUCGCAGAGGAUACGAAUUCCAUGGUUCCAUGCACAGGAUCAGAGAGGGUAAGUUACUGAGGAAGUCUUGAUUAAGGGGAACACCAUUAUUCACUAUCAUCAAUGCUUGUUUCCUUUUCGUAAAAAAAAAGAUCUCACUCUAGACUUCAAUUUCAAUUUCUCGUUCUGAAUUUGCAUCAACAACAGAAGGCUGAGUGGCUUCCAUUAAAAGGUAAAAUAAAAAAGAAGACCAGUUGUGACAGCCAUUUGAUCAAUUAAAUCAUCAACUCCUGGCAUUGGAGCUAUCUUUAGAUGCUUUUGUACAGAAGUUGGGGGUUCUGCUGUGGGCUGUCUUCUAGCUCUGCAUGAGAUGCUGACAGCGGUGAGGAUGUUGAAGGGUUGUUUCUUGAUAAUACAUGCAGUGUAGGGAAUUCAGACUCAAAAGAUUGUGAUGGUUCAAUAUAUCGGGGAUGGUGGCGAUCUCAUAAUGGAUUCAUCAUAGUUUUAAGAGGUAAAGGAUGGCUUGAUCGGCUGUUGCAAUGUUUGUAUCAAUCGUAUUUUGGUCUUUCUCUGUCCAUCUCUUUACUAACAAGAUGUUCUCUUCUAUCUUGCCACUUUGUAUCCAAGGAGACUGAGUAACAUAGGUCUUUGUUCCACACAGUUUAAAGAUACCAGAUAUCUUAGACACCUCUCAGAACAUACAGGAUAGUAAGCUUGACUUGUCUGAGCUUACAGCACCACAAACAGCAACCCUCAUGCCACGGCACACCCGCAAAUUAAUAUCCUUCAUUGUUCCCAAAGCUUGAUCAAUAACAGAGAGUUUACCUUCGCAUUCCUUCAUGUUUGUCAAGGUCAACUACUCGUUCGCAAUUAUAUCUGAAUUUCAUCUUUGCAAGAGGUUCCAGGUACGGUCUGGUUAAGUAUCCACUAUUAUCAAGCGGUUCCUUAUCCAAUUUAUCCUCACUAUCUUUCCCCUCCUCAAUUUUCUCAGAAGAAGACUGCCUUGGAGAUCCUGUGUCAGAUAUCCCAUGAAUGCUCUGACAUUAGGACAGAGACUGCACUAAACUUGACACCAAAUUCAAAGCAGCGUGAAGACUUGCUUUAUUUAUGAUGCUAGCUCGGUCACCAUUCCAUCCACUCCUUGCGGAAGCAACAUCUUUAAUAUCAUCUGAUUCUUUAAAGAAUGAUUCAUCAAAAUAUUUGUCAUCAAUCUGUUUGACACCACUGUCUAAAAGAGGGAGAUAUGACUCAGAAUCAGUAUCAGAUGCUUCGAAACCUAUCUCAUUUUUCUCUCUGGACAGCUCUAUUUCCACUGAUUCACACUGUCCAUCUAGAACAUUUUGGAUGAUAUCGAUUUUUAAUUUGCAUCUUUCAAGCUUCUGGCACAUCCUAUAUGGACUUUCAAUGGGACAAAACUGCUAUUCAGGACCUUCAAUCAGACUGGUUUUGUGCAUUGGAAGUAUGAUGUGUGGCAAGGUGGCCAAGAAGGAGUGGAGCCUCAAAAUUCGGGAUAGAAGGACCCAAUUCAUCGUCAGGAUAUUCAGUGGUCAAAAGCAUUUCCAUGUAUUAGGUAACUUGGUCCAUGAGCUCAAAUGGGUUCUCCCCAACAUUGAUCAAACACGGAACAUAAAAUUCAAAAUCCCCAAUUUCUUUGUAUUGACAGAUUUCCUGCAUUCUGUGUUAAUUUCCCACCACCAAGAUUUGAUUCAAUGGUUCUACUAGAAUAUGUACCCUUGUCGUUGCCAUCACCAAGCAGACUCCUCAUUGUUAUUUUUCAUCCAUAAUCGGACCGAAUCUGUAAAUGAAUGGUUUCCUUCACUUUGCGAAAUUCCUUCACGCUGUCGCUGCUGUGUUCCUGCUGCAUCCAUGAGUCCUUGUUGGCUGUUUCUAUUCCGACUAUUCUUUCCAAUCUCUAUAGCCAAUGGUGCAAUCCACUGGUCGUCAGAUAUUCCGUUUGAAGCUGGGGAAUUUUCUUGUUCAAACCAUCAGACUUGAAAACUGGAUCACUUAAAAUGCUAGCUAGGUGCCGAGCCACUCCUCCAUCUAUCAUGUUUUUUUCUUUUUUUUGCCCUUUUUUAUAUAGCAAUAAAAAAAAAGUUCUUCAAAGGAUUACACUCCAGGUUCGAAAAUGAAGAUAAUGUUUUAACGAGUUUACUGAUUACUCGCAUGUGCCUUUCAGUAGAACAGCUGCAUAGAACGGAAUUUGAAGAAGUUUAUCUGCAACAUCUACCUCUGUCAAUAGCACACCCUUAAGGAUUUCUUCUUCCAGCCAGGACCAAAACUGUGCAAGAGCAACUGCAUCCCUUAGAUGAGAAUUGCGCAUCCCUUCUAAUUCAGCCUGAUUUCUCACAGCCUUCGCCAGCAAAAUAGGUGAAAUCUUAUAAACUCCAGUGGGCACCCCAGAUUGACCAUUGGCGACUCCAUAUGCCUCAGACUUAUUUUUCCUCUUAUUAUCAAGGCUCCCAGAAUACUGGUCACAAGCAGCCUCGUAAGUGUUGACAAUAGCAACAUUAACAGAAGACGUAUCCAACUAGAGGUGUGCCCCUUUCGCUGCCAAAUUCUUUAUUUCAGCUAGAAUGGAUUUAUAUGGUCUCAACUCCAUGCCUACAUUCUUCAAGUGAUCCAUCACUUCUGGGCUGACUUUAGAAUCAUCAAUAAAUAAUUUUGCCCCAUCAAUCUCCACAAUAAAGUAUGCACACAUAACAGGUGAGUUUGGAACAUCAUUUCCUCUCAAGUUUAACAGCCAAGAAACUUCAUCAAGCAUAGAAACAACAAUAGCAGAACAACCAGCAUCAAUGAGUUCAGACCUCAGGGAAGACAAUUUCGAUGAGACAUCUAAACCAGCAUACGUCAGCUCAUGCACUCUAAUUGGUUUUCUUGGAGGCUCCGGCCUUGAUUCUUUCCAUAUUUCAUCCACAAGAUUUAAAUCAUAUAGGUAAACCAAUUCAUGAUUCUUCUUAGCAAUGGCCUCUUUCAAUUCCUCUGCAGCAUCAGAAGAAAAAAAAAAGGAUCAAUGCCAAUUCUGCAAACAGGAGCCAAAACAUCAUUAAGCCAUUCACUGGUUGUAGGAACUCCAUAGUUACCAACCCGCAUAAGAAUCCAAUUAGAGCUUAACUGCUUCUCUGCCUGGAGAAAAUAACGCCCAUCUGUCCAAAGAGCUCCUUUAUCCUUUGUGACAACAGCAGUACCAGCACUGCCAGUAAACCCUGAUAUGUAGGCCCUCCUCAUAUAACAUUCAGCAAUGAACUCACUCUAGAAGCCAAAAUAGAAGUGCUUCAGAAUUAAAUAUCCAGUUGACUCACCGACGACAAGUACUAUGUGAUAAAUGGAACCAAAGAACAUGAAUCCAGAUAAACCUCCAAGUGGAACUGGAGGCUUAAUUUGUUCCCUGGUGGGCGUCCUGGGAAGGGAUAAUAUACGCAUCAAUUCCAAUUCUGGGCUUCGAGAACAGCUCACGCAGAGAACGAAGCUUCUCAUCCUGCUCGGAAUCGGCAGAUUUCUUCCGAAACUGAGAAGAGGGUUUUGCGGUAAUGGAAGCGUAGUUUCGAACAAGGAAAAUAAGGCGGUUCUGGGAUUUUGGGCAGAAACUGUGGGGACUCUUGAAUUUGUAGAAAAUGGGAAGCGAGUGAGAGAGGAAAUGAAGACAACGGGAAUGCAGCUGAGAAGAACGAGGAGAGAAAGCCGUUGAGAGGGUGAGAGGAGACAUCAGUGAUGAUGUUGUUCAUUACUGGAAAGCUGGUCUUUUCAGUAGAGGCUAUCAUACUGUGGGCCACUGCCCGAAUUCUUUUCAGCAAAAGCAGUUGCUUUCAAGACAGAAGUUGUUGCCAAAAUCAUCAAGAUCCCCUCUGGGCUUCGUGCGUUUACUGCCAAGAAAUUCGACUCUUCUGGCACAGUCAAGUGUCACAUGUGCUUCAGCUGCAGUUCGAAGGCCAGUUUUCUUCUUAAUAUCCGAGGUCACCCAUCUGUAGUAAACCCUUCUCCAUGAAAUUUCUUUCUCUGACCGAAGAACACAGAUAUUAACAAAACAUCAUUGAGAUCAAACAGAAAACAUCAUUUGCAGAGCACGUAAAACUUCAAGCUCUUCCCUUCUACACUUAGAGCCAUUAGAAGAGAAAUCAGUUCAGGGAACUAGACAACCUGUUUAGCAACAAGCUUUCAAGCAAUAAUCUGCCCUAAUGACUGAUCAAGUGUAGAAAAGUAAUUACAUUAAGCCGCGCAUUCUAUGAAACAACGUUUCUUUCUGACAUACUCUCAAACAAUUGCCUCGCAAUAUCCAUACAUCCAAAUUUUGAGUACACGUCAACCAAAGCCGUCUCCACAAACACAUUACCUUCAAAACCACCCCGAGCCCAAAAGAAUAGUGCACUGAUUUCACAAUCUGGAUCAAGCUUGGAAAAACUGCCUUCCGACAAGAGAAUCUCCUCUGGUUUUGUAUUCUCUGAUUUUUCCCACUAAUUUUCCUACGCUUCCUUCUUCUUUUCACCAAAACGAUCCCCACCCCUUUUUUUCUUUCUUUUCUUUUCAAUGUUGCUUUCUCCCGCGCUCCCCAAUAUACUCUCAGUGUAAAUACCCUAGAAUAAUUGAAUUCCAAGGAGGCACAUCUCUAAUCCCCAUAUGAACUCACAAAUUUACGUUAUGGUAACCAAACUUAGCAAGUGCAAUAAACAGCCGACAUACCCUUCGGACAAUCUUCUCUAGAUCCCAUAUUGUGAUAGCAGUUCAAGAAUUGUGAAGCGUUUGACCUCUUUACUGAAACUCAUGACUAUAUGCCCAUGCUUUAGAGUCACCCCCAUAUGAAAAGCUGAUGGUCGUGUGAUGGGUAGGAAGAAAAGGCAAAACAGAUAUGGUAGAGAGUAGAGGAAACAAUGGGAAAACAGACAUGGGAGAUUAAAAGAAAAUAAAACCACAUCUCCUGAUUUUUCAAUAGGCUCAGGUUAGUGGGAACAUGCAUGGAGUUAUAUGCUUCCGAAGACAUUAAUGACAUCCGAAAUCAAAACAAGGCAAACAGGCAAGUAACCAAUCUCAACAAAGCAAAUUGUGGCCCUUUUCGUCCACACCAAAAAUCAACAAGACAAUUAAAUUUUCAGGAAUCGAACACACGGAAAAAUCAAAUAUAGGUAAGAAUUCCAAAAGCAACGGGGUGCAUACCUGGACAGCUUUGGUUGCAAUGGCUUGGCUUCUGGCUAUCUUUUCUCUUCCUUCUGAAGACAAUUCCCAGGUAAAAAUCCUCUUUUUGCUUGUUCUUUCUUCCUCCUUCUCCCCCUCUAGACUCCAAUACGUGCUUCCCUCCAAAAAAUCUCCUCCCACAAUAAAAAAAAAAAAAAAAGCUCUCUCUUUUUUCCUUCCUCUCUCACGUAUAUAUACACCUUUCCCUAAAACCUCAAUCUCCCUAAAAAAAAGGCCAAAUCUCCUAUAUUCCCUCUUCUUUUCUCCUUAUCCUUUUUUUAAAUAUUCCAAUUCAAAAGCAAUCUUCCCAACUUUAAAUUCUCCUCCAAAACCUUCCAAGGAGAGUCCCACUUUCCUUAAACUCCAAUGAUAAGUUUCCUUAUAAAAACAUGAAAUUUUAGAAGUUAAAUAAUUGCAUGAAUAGAUAAAUAAGUAAAUAAAUUAGAAAAUGGUAAAAAUAAUAAAUAAAUAAAUAAGUUAAGGAAAAUAAUAUAAAGAGGAAAAUAAAAUAAAAUAAAAUGAAAAUAAACAAAAUAACAAAAAAUGGGCCCUAUGAGCCAUGCAAACACGCAAGUCAUAUAAGUCACGCUAAAAAAAAUCUUAAUAGACCUAGUAUACCUAAACGGGCCUAUGAUGAGACUAAGUGGGCCUAGGGUGGUGCCUAAUGGGCCAAGUGUAUCUAAAAGCUAUCCUAAAAAAAAAACAAGAAAAGCCUAAGUCUAAGUUAGCCGCCAAGGGUCACAAUAAGGGAUCAAAUAAUCCCUCAACCAAAGUCUUCAAGGUGACUCAGAAAAAAGUAAGUGGUGAGUAGUACUGGGCCACCAAGGAACUACUGUGGAGCACUAAAAACGAAUUUUAAAGACAUAUGCUAAAAGGACAAAAUUAAGGGUCUACAGCAUGCCUUUGGCAUUUGUCACACUUCUUGAUAUAAGCCGCAACGUCUCUCUUCAUAGUGGGCCAAUAGUAGCCCUACGAGUGCACUCGAUGCGCCAAAGAUUGUCCUCCGGGGUGAUUGCCGCAUACACCCUCAUCUAACUCAGCUAAUAUGUAUUGAGACUCUGAGCGGUCUAGGCACCUGAGGUAGGGGCCUAUAAAAGAUCGUUUGUAAAGGUGCUCCCCGAUCAGAGCGAAACGAGCAGCUUGUACCCGGAUCUUAUACACCUGCUUGGGUUCAUCAGGUAGAGAUCCUGUCUGGAGGUAUCCUGCUAUGACUUCCGUCCACUCUUGGCCCUCUUCCUGGCUUUCCUCAAUAGUAUUGCAAGUGGAUGUUUCUAUGAUGGAGGGAUCAGUCUGCACAUAUAUAGGAAAUAAUAUGGCCUCUUUGAUGGGCAGGGAAGUAGCUAUUCUUGCCAAGGCGUCAACACGUACGUUAUCAACUCGUGGGAUUUUUUCUAUGGUCUAUUCGCUUAACCAUUGCAAGGUGUCUCUCACUUUUGUUAGAUAUCGCGCCAUUCGUUCGUCCUUGGCUCCGUAUUCCUCUUGCACGUGUUGAGAAUUGUUGUAGACUCGGAGCUUGGAGACAGAUAGUGCGAGGGCGAGAUCUAGUUCGGACAAGAUGGCUUCAUAUUCUGCUUCAUUGUUUGAUGCGGAGAACCCCAGCCGUAUAGCUUGCUCCAGUUGUUCACCUGUUGAGGAUUGCAGUAAAAGUCCUAUUACGGAUCCCGGUGAUCGAGAGGCUCCGUCAACCCGCAAGGUCCACCACUCUUCUUUGUGCGGUUCCUCGUCUCGAACAGGUUUUUGGGAGGACUCUACCACAAAGUCGGCCAUUACCUGUCCUUUCAUAGACAAUCUCAGUUGGUAUUUGAUCUCAUACUCACUUAAUUCUAUGGCCCAUUGGAGCAUUCUUCCGAACAGAUCCGACUUGUGCAGGAUGUUGUGAAGGGGCUGGUUGAUAAGUAUGACUACCGGGUGGGCUUGGAAGUAGGGGCGAAGUUUCUGGGCGGCACUUCACAAGGCUAAGGUUGUUUGCUCUAUCUUUGAAUACCUUGUUUCUACAUCGGCCAAUGCUCUGCUGACAUAAUAAAUAGGUUUCUUCUCCCUAUGUGUAGGGCAACGAAACAGAAUAGUGCUAACUACCCAAUCUGACACAGCCAAAUACAUAUACAAUUUUUCUCCGGGGAGGGGACUGCUCAGGAUGGGUGGUUGCGUUAGGUAGUGUUUGAUAUUUUCGAAAGCGCUUUGACAACUAUUCGUCCAUCCAGUUGUGUCGGUUUUCUGUAAUACUAAGAAGAAGGGUCGCAAUUCGUCAAUGAAUCAGGCUAUGAAACGUCCCAGUGCGACGAGCUUGCCUGUGAGGCGUUGCAACCUUUUUUUGUUCUUGGGGGGUGGUGUUUCCAUGACUGCCUUAAUUUGGUCAAGGUUGACUUCUAUUCCUCUUUGGCUGACCAUGAACCCCAAGAAUUUCCCAGCACUCACACCGAAAGCACAUUUGGAUGGAUUCAACUUCAUGCCUACCUCCUUAGUAGGUGGAAGACUUUUUGUAAGUGGUGUGCAUGCUCUUCUCGGGUUUUACUUUUAACCACUAUAUCAUCAAUGUAUACUUCCACUGUGCGGCCAACCAGGGGUUUGAAGAUCUUUGUCAUCAGUCUCUGAUAGGUGGCACCGGCAUUUUUGAGUUCGAAUGGCAUGACUUUAUAACAAUAAAGCCCAUGUGGAGUUAUAAAGGCUGUCUUUUCUUCGUCGGUAAGGGCCAUGGGGAUUUGGUGGUAUCCGGAGAAGGCAUCUAAGAAGGAGAGCAUUCCUUGCUCGACAGUGGAGUCCACGAUUUGAUCUAUUCGCGGUAAAGGGAAACUGUCUUUUGGGCAUGCAUUGUUGAGGUUGGUAUAAUCGACGCAUACUCACCAUUUCCCCUCCUUUUUGGGGACCACCACUACAUUCGCCAGUCAAUCCGGAUACUCCACUUCUCUAAUAAAUCUGGCUUCUAACAAAUUGUCAACCUCGUCCCGAAUAAUUUUUUGCCUAUCCGGGUGGAACCGCCUAACCUUCUGCCAGACGGGUCUUGAUGAAGGCAAGAUGUUAAGCCGAUGGGAGGUGACUGAAGGAUGGAUUCUCGUCAUGUCGAACUGCGCCCACGCAAAGACGUUGUGGCUUUGUCGGAGGGUGUCCUAGAUAUCCCGGGCCUCUUCAGGUGUCAAGAGGGAGCUGAUAUGUGUGAGAUGAGUGUUUUCCUUCGAGAUUUGGAUUGGCCGCAAGGAUCUACCAUUGGGGGAUCUUUAUCCGCCGGGUUCAGUAAUUGCUAUUGGUUUGGCAUGUUGGUGGGUUUGGGGAGGGACUAGCCAUCUUUGCUGGAUCCGACUUCUCGCGCUAUCUGAUAGCACUGGCUAGCGGCCAACUGAUUGCCAUAUAGAUCGAUUUGUCUGUCCUCAGUGAGAAAGCUUACCAUCUGAUGGUAUGUGGAAGGGAUGACUUUCAUGUAGUGCAGGCACGUGCGUCCCAAGAUGGCGUUAAAGGGGGACAAAUCUUCUACCACUGAAAAUUAUACGUUAAGAGUGAAUGGGCCUGCUUGGACUGGUAGCACAACGUCUCCAAGGGAGGUGGUUGCCGCUCCAUUGAAUCCCGACAAGAUCCGCGUAGGAUUUUCUAAGCCGGAUAGCUCGAGUCUCAUCUGCUUGAUUACUGAUGCUUGUAAGAGAUCGGUCGAACUGCCUGGGUCAAUUAGGAUCCGUCUCACAUCAAAGUCCUCCAUCCCUAAGGAUAGGAUGAGGGCGUCACGAUGUGGUUGUAAUAUUCGUGUGAGAUCUAUUGGGGGGAAAACGAUUGUCCCGUCUAUCGGGCGAACACUCCUGGUAGUUAAAUUGGGCAGGAUGGAAUUGACGCGCUCAUGCACCGACGCUGCUCGCAGCAACCUCUGCCUCUUUCAUUUGGAGUUGUACUCCUCAUCUAGUGGUCCUCUGUGGAUGUAAUUGAUGACGGCCUUAGGGGCGGUUGGGGCCCUAAAGGUCCCAGAAUCGCGGCUCCGGGAAGUAUCUCUAACCCAAGCUUCUGAGAGGAGGUAUUGCUUCAAAUGUCCUGCUUUUAUGAGCUUUUCUACCAAGUAAUGGAGACUCUUGCAUCGCUCCGUAGUAUGACCAUGCUCUUUGUGGUAAGCACACAUCUUGCUAUGAUCUCUCUUGGCUGGGUCCGUUUUGAUGGGUCUGGGCCACCUGAAGUCGGACAGGUCUUGUAUCAUAAAAAGGAGCUUCUCAUAUGACAUAGUAAGGAGAGUAAGAGGCGGCAGCUCCGGGCGACUUUGCUCCCCCUGCCUUCGAUCAGACGUCCUAGGCUGGUUCGAAGGUUUGGAACUUCUUUCCGCGUCGCUUCUGGAUGUUUGUCCGAUGACCAAAAUUUGCUGGGUGGCUACACGCACAUCAUCUUCCAGCGUUGAGUAUUUGCUUGCACGCCGGAACAAGUCAUCCAUCGUCGUGAGAAGCUUUUUAGCGAGUGCUUCAAAGAAUGGGGUACUUGGGCAUAUGCUUUGUUUGAAGAUUUGGAGGACAGCAUCCAUGCUAUAGGCCUCUACUUGCAACACAACCUGACCAAAUCGUUUCACGAAUUCUCUCAAGGACUCAUUCUCCUGCAUUUUUAUGUUUUGUAGGGUGCUGAUGUUUUAUUUAUGCCGGGCGGAGCACCAGUAUCGUCCCACAAAAGCUUCUGAUAGGUCCCGGAAGUUAUCAACAAAGUUCGAGGGGAGUCUGUGAAACCACGAAAGAGCUUGGCCUUGUAAGCUGGCGGGGAAUACUUUGCACAACAACACAUCAUUCCCUAUGUUGAGAGUCAUGAGUUUUCGGUAAUGCAUGAUAUGGUCGAAUGGAUCACUAGACGUGUCAUAUGAAGAAAAUUUUGGCACGAGGAAUCCCCUUGGGGGAUCCUAAUGGAUAAUACGUGAGCUAAAAGGCAUGGAGAGCAUGUCAUCCAGCCUCUUACUAAUGGAACCUGGGGGUGGUUCAUUUGAUGAGUUCCUUCCAACUUGUCGUACCGCUUGGUGUGGGGGGUUAUUCUGAACAGUGGGUGCGACUGGGGGGUCGGGAUAUGCUUCCUAGGUUGCGGCCACCGACGACCUCUCCUUACCAGGCUCAUGCGGUCAUAACCUCACGCGCAUUGCGUCUUACAAUUGGGGCCUUUUAUCACGCUGUCUCUUUGAUGAGAGACGGGUAGAGUCUGAGCUUUCAUCUUGGGAAGCAGGAUAUGUGGGCAUGGGUCGUUCCUGAGAUCGCUCAUUGCACAUAUCAGGGACGACCCCUACAGUUCCGGGAUAUACCGAUUCUGGAUCAAGCCUAGAGUUUACCCCCUAACCUCUUGGGCGUUGGUCACGAAGGGGCCCCGAUGAUGAAACCUGGAUGCGUAACACCGCGUUUUCUUCUCUUAGUCUCGUCGUUUCCUGGAAGAGAGCUUGCAUUUUUCGUUCGCUCUCCAACUGUCGCCUUUCCAUGGUCUCGCGCCAUUCGAAAUAGCCUUCUUCUUCUCUAGCUGACGAACGACUCUUGGAAGGUGUGGACAUCUUUGUCGUUGAUUGAGCAACUUCCCACAGACAGCGCCAAUGUUGGAGCCUCGCGUCACCCGGGGUCCUCACAGUAGCCAGAUGGAUGCUCCCUUUCAACUGAAGAUGAUUCCUGCCUCAAUCAACUUGCAAAAGACGUCUUGACAAGUUGUCCGGACACACCCUCCGAUGGUUUUGUUAGCCUUCUCUAUGAUAAUCAAUCUUCCCUUUUUAUUAAGUAAGAAAGCUUACCUUCUCUGCUCACAUGAAGGCUCUUUUAUAGUGUCAGAAGCUCUGUCCCUUUUAAUGGUGGGAAGACUUUUUGGCUUGUCAUGAUGGUGCUGAGUCAUCAUUGUCCUAUAAGCGGCUGUCAGAUAUUGUGGAGGGGAUGGCUUGCCGUCAUUCCUGUCCUUUCGCUCUACAGGCGAUGGAAUGCGGGCUGUGACAGGUUGUCUGAGGUGACUCAGUAUGGUCCCGUCGAAAGUGCUUCUGGUAGUGUAGGACAGGAUGGCCCGCGUUUCACGGCCAAGGCUUUUGAUUAAGUUGCUAACGCUAGGUCCGGACAACAUAUCCAGACAAGAGAGGGGGUCGUCCGGACCGUGGGUUUGAGAGUGUCAUACGCCCCUUGAAGGGAAUUCGGAUAGGGAGUUGAUGUGCCACGUGUCCCCUGGAGGGGUGCUGUGCGGGGUUGCCACGUGGGCUUUUAGGGGUGGUCCCUACAUUGUCCAACUCACGUUAAUGUAUUAAAUUAAUAAUCUCAUUAAAUAUAUAAGAUAAUAGUUUUUUCGAAAUUCUUCAAAGUCCAAUAAAAUAUAAAUUAAUAACUAAUGAAAUAUGUGGAAAAAAAACAAAAGAUUUCAUAAUACAAACUUUCUCAAAAUAUACAUUGAAAUUUAUUUCUUUUCUUUGCACCUAAACUAACUCAAUUUUAUCUUUAUUUUUUUGUAAUAUAUAUAACUAAAUUAAUAAAUUAUUGAUUUAUUGAUAAAUUAAUAAUUCCUUUUGAUUCAAGAAUAAUAUUUUAUUUUAUAGGGUUUUUCCUAUAGCUAGGAGUGGCGCAAAGGAGAUAGCAAAUAAUUAUCCAUCAAUGAGUUACUGGCUUACUGCUACCUCCGGGUUAUGUACGCCGCUUUAGUCAAGAUCUUCAUUGCAACCUAUAACAAGCUAAGCUCUGAGUCAAGUCAAUUGGUCCCCCAUCGUAAUUACCCAAAUGAGAUUGUAUGGAAUCACACUUUCAUCUUUGAGUGAAAGAAGGAGCCUUCCUUGACCGAUUCACUCCUUCAGCAAAUGAAUUGCAUAGAAACGAGAUAAAUGUCUUUGAUGCAAAGUAAGGUAAAAAAAAUAGAGGUAGAGUUAGGUGGAGUUUGUUUUUUUUUUUUUUACUUUUUAUUAAAAGUAAUUUAUUUUUAGAAUUUAGGUAGUUUAUUUUUUUCAUAAUUGACAAAAUGGAACCGUAUAGAAAACGGAGGUAAGUCAGGUCAAGUGGGCCCACUUGACCUACCACAUUAAAUUGUUUGGAAAGUGGAAAUUGAAACUGAAAUUGCCUAGAAAGUGAUUUCCCAUUUGCUCAGAAAUUGCCUUGAAACUAGGAACUCAGUUGGAUUUAAAAGCAACAAACCUGGCUGUUGCUUUCUGAUUUUACACCAAAAACUUUCUCAAUAACCCCAUUUUUUAAAAAAAAAUUUGAUGGAAACAUUAUAUAUAUAUAGAUAUUAAUUAAUAAAAAUAAAAUUAUAAUUCAAAUAAUUUUUAUUUCCUUACUUUAUUUAUUUACCCUUUUAUCCCAUAAGGGUGAAAAAAAAGAAAAAAAUAAACUAAAUUGCAAAUAAAAUGAGAAUAGAAAUUUAAUAAAAAUUUCUUACUUUUUAUUGUUGAAUAUAGAAAUUUACAAGUUGAAGAUACAAUUGAUUGUUUUUCUCUUGAUCUCUCUAUUGAUUGCUUUUUGAUUGCUCGCUUGCUUGCUCUGUCAAUUUACAACAAAAAUAUUUACAAAGUUUUCAAAUGUUCAGUUAACAAUAAAUGUAAAGAAGGUAAGAUUUGACUUUUCUUCUUCUUUACCAUCCAUCUAGUGGCUUCUUCCUUAUCUCUUUCUUCUUUUUUAUCACAUGCAGUAUACGUGGCUUUAUUGAUUAUGGACUUCUAUUGUUGUAUUAAAUUCUUGUAGUUGAAGACAUAUUUCGUGCUUCAAUGUUGUCAUUGCUAACAUCAACGUUCCAUUGCAUUUUGUAGAUUAAAAUAACUUUUGUCGUUAAGGUUUUCCCAAAAUGAUGCAUCAUCGCUGAGGUAAGAAGAUGGUUCGAGUAACUCUACAUCGAGUUUGAUUAUAAAAUCUUGUUCUUCAGAAGUAAUGAAAGGUUUCGGAACAAUAAUUUGUUCUAAAGGUUUGUUUCUCUAUAUAGACAUGGUUUUUGUUUCUACAAUGAGAUGAAAUAAUUUAUUUCAGGUUGGUUUAAGAUCAUAAAUUUGAAAGGCUCUAAAGUGAGUAAAAAAUUCUGAAAAUUCAUUCGAAUGAGUCAUUUCCCAUUCUGGUUCUUGUUGAGGGAUGAGUGAUUCUUUAUUGUGUUUUAUAUAAACAUGGUGAUAGGUUAGCACUAUUGAUCAAUUAGUUUGAAAUAAAGGUGGAAUGGUUUCAAAAGAAAUGUUGAUUUGUUUUUUUGUUUUUAAAAUUAGUUGUUUAGCUAAAUUAACUGUAUUUAAUUUUUAAGAAUAAAAUUUAGAAAAAGUAUAAAUCUAAAAUAAUCCUAUAAAAUUAGGAUUGGAUAGAUAAAUUCUAAACAUAAAACAUCAUUGCAUGAAAUAUUAUACAUAAAAUGUGAAAUACAUAUCAUGAAUUUUAUUUUAUAUUUAUAAUAUUAAAAAUAAAAUAGAAUUAACAAAAAUAAGUUAAAAUUAUUUUAUUAAUAUAUAUUAACAAAUAAAAGAUAAAAAUUAUAAUAUAUAUAUAUAUAUAUAUAUAGAAAAGUUAAAAUGAAAAAAGAGAGACAAUUGUCUCUCCCUUUGUCACACAAUGGAGAGACCUUGUCAAUCGGGAUUGAAGUUACACUUUUAAAAAUUACUAGUAGAAAGCACGCGCGAGGCACAUGAAGAUGUACGUAGGUAUAUGAUCGUGAAUGUGCAGAUAAAUGGAAUGAAAGAUAUAAUGUUUGAAAAGGUAGGUCAAGUGGGCCCACCUGACCUACCACAUUAAAUUGUUUGGAUGGUGGAAAAAUGGAACUAUUUAGUGCACCAUUUUUCUUUUUAUUUUCUUUUUGAAAAGAUAGAAAGCAAUACGUUUGUUUUCAAACUAAAAUUGCCUGGAAAGUGAUUUCCCAUUUGCCCGGAAAUUGCCUUGAAACUGGGAACCUAGCUGGAUUUAAAAGCAACAAACCUGGUUGUCAGUUGAUCAGCAACAACUGUGAAAACAAUUAAUGGCUGAAAGUAUUGUCACCGUUUUUCUAGAGAAGUUAACUGACCUGCUUUCCAAGGAAGCAUUUCUACUCAGCAGAGUGGAAGAGCAGGUGAAGCUGUUGAGUAGCGAGCUCGAAUGGAUGCGCCUUUUUCUCAAAGACGCGGAUGCGAAGCGCAGAUAUGAUCCAAGAAUCAAGCUCUGGGUGAGUCAGAUCAGGGACGUAACCUAUGACGCCGAAGAUGUCAUCGACAGGUUCAUGUUCGAGAUGAAUCACCAACAGCAAGGAAGUCUCAAAUGCCUCCAGUUCCUUAAGUUACGAUUUGUUCACAAGCUCGAGUCUCGAAUCAGAGAGAUCAAUAUCAAGAUUGAGAAGAUCAUGGCUAACAAAUCAAGGUACGGUGUCGAAACCUUACCAGCUGCAAGCUCGUCCAACGAAGCUGUGCCACAUAAAGAGAAGAGGGCUCCGAUUGUUGAAGUCAACGUGGUGGGAAUUCAAGAGGAUGCAAAAAGCGUUAAGCAAAAUCUGCUUAAUGGAGAGAUGCGGAGAGCUGUGGUGUCCAUCGUGGGCAUGGGUGGCUUGGGAAAGACUACCCUGGCUAAGAAAGUCUAUAAUGAUAAUGAUGUCCGGCAAUGCUUUGAUUGUCAUGCUUGGAUUUAUGUCUCUCAAGAGUAUACAAUCAGGGAGCUUUUGCUAGGCGUUGCUGUUUGUGUUAGGAUUCUCUCCGAAGAGGAAAGGAGUAAAAUGGACGAGAGCGAGUUGGGGGAUAGGCUUCGUGAUUACCUGACUACCAAGAAGUACUUGAUAGUUUUGGACGAUAUGUGGAGAAAUGAAGCUUGGGAUAGGCUGGGCUUGUAUUUUCCUGACUCGGUGAAUGGCAGCAGGGUGUUGAUCACCUCACGCAAUAAAGAGAUUGGUUUUUAUGCUGAUCCACAAGCCAUUCCCCAUGAACUUUCUUUUCUGACUGAAGAAGAGAGCUGGGAGCUCUUUCUCAAGAAAAUUUUUCUGGCUGGGAGUGCAAAUGCUGUUUGCCCCAGAGAAUUGGAAGAGUUGGGAAAGAAAAUUGUAGCAAAUUGUGGGGGUUUGCCCCUUGCAAUUGUGGUCUUGGGAGGCCUUCUAUCAAGAAAAGAAAAGACACCGCUCUCCUGGCAAAAAGUACUGGACAGCCUGACUUGGCACCUAAAUCAAGGUCCAGACUCAUGUUUGGGGGUCCUUGCUUUAAGCUACAAUGAUAUGCCGUAUUACUUGAAGUCCUGUUUCCUUUACUGUGGUCUUUUCCCAGAAGACUCAGAAAUCUGGACAGAUAAGUUGAUCCGCUUGUGGGUUGCAGAAGGGUUUAUACAAAGAAGAGGAGUAGAAAUAGCGGAAGACGUCGCGGAAGAUCACUUACAGGAAUUGGUACAUAGAAGCAUGAUUCAAGUGGCUGCCAGGAGUUUCGAUGGAAGAGUGAUGUCCUGUCGCAUGCACGAUCUGCUUCGAGACCUUGCCAUUUCUGAGGCCAAAGAUACAAAAUUUUUCGAGGGAUAUGAAAGCAUUGAUUCUACAUCCCCUGUGAGUGUUCGUCGACUAACCAUUCAUCAAGGUAAGAAGACUAAUUCUAAACACUUGCAUACUUCACGUAGUCUCCGAUCUUUCAUUUGUUUUUCUGUAUGCUUCCAAAAAAACAGUUUGAGAUCUUUACACAGGCGUGUCAAAUUGCUCACUGUACUGGACCUAGAAGGCAUGACUAUCAAUACCAUCCCAGAAGGCAUAGGAGAACUUAUCCACCUUAAGUACCUGUGCUUAAGGAGAACCCGCAUAAAAAGGCUUCCAUCGUCCAUAGGUCGUCUUACAAAUCUACAAACCCUAGACUUUCGAAGCACUUUAAUUGAAAUAAUUCCUUCUACCAUUUGGAAAUUGCACCAUUUGAGACAUCUAUACUGUCGUGGAGUGGUUUCAAGCCAGUCAGUGAUAGAUAAGUUCAGGAAUGGCCCUUUGAGUGUUGGUCACCUAACAAACCUCCAAUCGUUAUGUUUAAGAGCAGGCAGUUGGUGCUGUGGUGAAGGCUUGGGAAAAUUAAUUGAGCUUAGAGAACUGACAAUUGUAUGGACCGAAAUCGCACAAACAAAGAACCAGGGAUUUUCCGAGUCAGUAAAAAAGCUAACUGCUCUUCAAUCCUUGCGUUUGUAUACUUUAGGAGAGGAAAUGUUAACCAUGCCGCACCUUAUGCCUUUCUCAGACCACACCUACCUUUACCAUCUAAGUUUAAAUGGAAGGCUCGAAAGGUUCCCUGAUGAAAUUGAAUUCUACCCUCCAAACCUCAUCUCCUUGGAAUUGCGAUAUCGGAAUGCAGAGCAAAACCCAAUGGUGACCCUAGAGAAGCUGCCAAACUUGAGAUUUCUCAGAUUAUCCCUUUGUUCCUCUAUGUUAAAGAAGAUGGUCUGUACUUCUGGAGGAUUCCAGCAACUCGAAACCCUUAGGCUCUGGGGUUUGAAAGAAUUAGAAGAAUUGAUUGCGGAGGAAGGGGCAAUGCCUGAUCUGAAGGAUUUAGUAAUUGAUGCUUGCCCUAAAAUGAAAAGGCUUUCCCAUGGAUUGCUGCAACGAAAAAAUUUGCAGCACCUAAAGUUGUAUGAUUUGUCUCCUGAGUUAAUGGAUGAGCUUUCUCGGAUAGAAGGAGAUCUGGAGAAGAUCUGCCUCGCCACCUCAAUACACGGGUGGAGGCGUACGGCAUCUUGAAGGCUGGCUCAGGAGAAGUUUCAUAAAGCGCUACCAGGAAAUGCUUGGACUGUAUUGAAGAGCAUUUCCAAUGCAACAAAUCUUUCUCUACUUGUCUAAGCU
rnacentral:lncRNA from 1 species